UAUUGUGGCAGGGUCAGAGAGGCUUUUUAUGUUAGUAAUAGAUUGGGGUGCUCUCUAUUCCCAGCAUGAUGGGGUUAAUUGGUGGGAGUCACCCCUUGAAUGUUAUCAACCAGGUGAAUGUAAUUAACCAGCACUAGGGUUUUAAAAGGUUAGCCUCUGAAGACAUGGGGGAAUCUAACAGCUGGGAGAGAGGAGGCAGUUAAGCCUGAGACUCUGAGAAAAAGGUACUGUGUGAA